GGUAGACACAGGUUGGACUUUCAACGAUAAGAUCAAUCUUUCACCCGUUGCCUCGAUUGGUGAAAACCCUAGCCGCAGCAAUCGAUUGUUUUUCAUCAUCAUCAUCAUCAUCAUUAUCGCAGAGACGCAGGGGAAAGGGAUGGAGAAGCUUAUUUAUGUUCACGUUCUCAAGAUGGGAAAAUAUUCAAAAAAAGAUUUGUACGGUUCGUUUACAAUGAUGCAGCAAACGACUGGAAUGUGAUCAAACAAAGAAGCGAUGGUGGUGUUGGUGUUAAAAUGUCGCGAAAUUUUCAAGAUGUAGUUACUCUGAACUCCCCAGGCCCUGCUCUUGUGCAUACCGGCUGCGAAGCGAUUGGUUCCUGCAUUUUCGUGAUCGGUGGGGUUAAUGCCCUCUGUGAUCGAUCUUUUAUGGGAGCUCGCGAUGGUUCCGGCGAGUUAAGAGAAAUUAGCCAACCUGUUGUUUCUAUUUAUUCCCCAAAUUUCUCUGUGUGUUUAUCGCUGAGCACAAUUGUUGCCUAUAGGAGGAAGAAGGCACUUUGUAUCAACUAGAUUGCAAGAACAAUAGCAAUUGGAGUGUCUAUCAGAAGGAUUUACCUUAUCCAUCAGGUGCCCUCAUUGUUUUUAAUGAUGGGAUUCUUUUACAUCUUUAGUCCUGGGAAGCAAUUGACUUACUGCGAUAUUAGCAACAAGAAUGAACUUUAUGUGGUUGACCUCCCUCGAUCGUUCUGGUUUUGGUGGCGACAGUUAUGAAAUCGAUCGAAUUCAUUGUCCUUUCUAAGAAUAGGUUCUGCGUCGUGUGGGAUGCCGACAUUGGUGUCAUUAAUCAAAUCCAAGUACAUUACAUCAGAUUCUCAGUCUCUCAUCAUCUAACUCAGUCCACUUUUGAUGUUGAGAAGACGCGGCGCUUCACUGUUGGUGGCCCUAGGCCAAGUUCUGUGGCAGUGUUUGGUAUCGAGGUGGGCCACUUUGGUAUUGAAAGGAGAAGAACGGAAGAGUUAAAGUUGUUGUGCCACAUGCCGCGGCGUGAAGAUUGUUCGCCACAGUGCACAAAUCCCUAGUUGUGGGUUUGGUAUCGAGACGGACCACCCGAGUAUCGAAAGGAGAAGAGAAGGAAGAGUUGAAGUUGUGCCACACGCCGUGGCGCGUAGAUUGUCUGCCACAACGCAUAGCCAUCCUUGAGUGAGGAAGGACAUUUCUGUGCUAUGCGCCAUAGCGCAUGGCCAUUUUUUGCACUUUAUCAGACGCGAAAUGAGACAGAAAAAAGAAAGAAAAGGAAGGAGAGAAAGGAGAGGUGUGCUAAUGCUCUGCUAGAGUUUGCUUGGGGAUCACUUUGAGAGUAUUUUAAAGGCUAUAAACACUCAAGAUAAGUAUCAUACCUAUUAAUCUCCCCUUUUCUUCAACAUUUAUGAGUUUAUGGUUAAGGUUUGAUAAUGAAAGUGGGAAUUCGGUCCAUAUAGGUUAUGAGUCUAAAUUUGUCAACUCAAAUGGAGUUAAUGGGGGUAGAUUAGAGUAUUCAAACCUUAGUAUAAUGAGUUUUGGUGUUUUGGGUUAUUAGGCACUAUAAAUGUCUAAAAUCUCAUUUAUUAUGGGUUGUUGGAAGUUUGUAAUGCCAUUAAUAGGAAUUUAAUGGCUCAUUAAUGCUAUUGGGAGCUAAAAGUAAUUAUUAAACCUAGUGGUUAGGCUCCACCUCUUGUAAGGUGAAGGUGGGCAAUUUAGAAGUAAAGAUUGAAGGUUUAAUUGUUUG